CCUACGGGAGGCAGCAGCAGGGAAUAUUGCACAAUGGGCGAAAGCCUGAUGCAGCAACGCCGCGUGGGGGAUGAAGGCCUUCGGGUUGUAAACCCCUUUCAGGAGGGAAGAAAUUGACGGUACCUCCAAAAGAAGCCCCGGCCAACUACGUGCCAGCAGCCGCGGUAAUACGUAGGGGGCGAGCGUUGUCCGGAAUCAUUGGGCGUAAAGAGCUCGUAGGCGGCUCAGUAAGUCGGCUGUGAAAUCCCAGGGCUCAACCCUGGAACUGCAGUCGAUACUGCUGUGGCUAGAGUCUGGUAGAGGAGAAUGGAAUUCCCGGUGUAGCGGUGGAAUGCGCAGAUAUCGGGAGGAACACCAGUAGCGAAGGCGGUUCUCUGGGCCAGUACUGACGCUGAGGAGCGAAAGCGUGGGGAGCAAACAGGAUUAGAUACCCUGGUAGU
rnacentral:rRNA from 1 species